GACUUUAUUUCUUCAUUUAUAUUUGCUUACAUCAUCAUUACAAUUUCCAAUACACCUUUUUACCUUCCCAAUUACCUUUUUAUCUCACACACAUCACAUCACAAAAAAUGCUACAGUAAAAAUAUCUCAAAUAACUUACAAUCCAAACAAACUUAAAAUAAUUUUGGUAUCCAAACACUCCUAUUAUUCUAUCCAAAUAAUGCCAAUUAGGCAGGAACCAGAAACAGUUCCAGCGCCAAUUUUGACCGGCCAAACGAAGUUCACAGCAGUGUGUCAGCAGUAAAUACAGGACUCAUUUAUCAACAAAAAAAAAGAACACGUGAAUCUAUCUAUUCUCCAAUUUAACCACGGCCAUCCGCUCUGAGUCUGAUCUGUCACCUUCCCAAUUUGUCACUCACAAAAUUUACUCUCUGUUUUCCCCUGGAUUCAGGGGACCGGCCAACGAAGAAAUAAUUCAUUUCUCCUGAGGGAUGAGAACUAAAAGUCGGAAAAGAUAAGCUAAUUUUUUUUUGGGGGGUUUUAAUCCUCCGCUAUUAAUGCAGAAAUAAUUGAAGUUUUUUAAUUUGGCUUUCGCCACGGCCCGAGAGUCAGAGACAGUCACAGUCAACGGCCAUGGCCUCUCCCUCUCCAACAGUCCGUUUUCUGAGCCUUCUAGACCAACCCGAGCCCGACCCCCAUAACGGCCACCACAAUCCUCUCGAGCUCGACGAGAGCGACGUCGUUUGGUCCUCCUCCUCCGCCUGCUCUACCGACACCGAAUCCCACUCCCCACCUCUCCCUCCUCCAAUUUGCCGACCACCCAUCUCCGCCGUCAUCGCAACCACGUCAACCCACCCAAUUACGGGCUCUCCGCCGCCCUCUCCCAAGACCACCACCCUCCUCUUGUCCGCCGGAAAUCCACCCUCAACCCCUCCCUCUCUGCAGCCUCGGCCGCCAGGAUGGUCCCGCCCGUGGUUCGAUCCGAGAAUUCUAAUCUGAUUUCCGCCGGAAGGUUCCACCAAUCGGCUCCGGUGAACGUCCCUGUGUGGCCGAAGAAGAAGAAAUUGGGUGAGUUUGAUAAUUUAGAGCGGUUGGAGGAGGUAGACAAUGAGAGAGAAAAGGAGGAUGAGGAGGAGAUGGUGCCGCCUCACGUGAUCGUCGCGAGAUCUCACGUGACAUUCUCUGUUUUCGAAGGCGUUGGACGGACUCUCAAGGGAAGAGACUUGCGGAGCGUGCGUAACGCUGUGUUCCAGAAAACAGGUUUUAUUGACUGAACAUUUCAAGUUCCAUUCAAUCGAUUUUUUUUUUUAUUUUAAAUAAGGGAAAAAAAAAAGAAAAAAAAAACAAAAUCGAUCUAUUUCCUCUUCAGUUCUGUAAUUUUGUUAUGCCUUUGUGCUUUGAUUACUUUAUCUAGAUUCGGAAAAUGGAAGCAGCUAGAUUUUGUUUUGUUGAUGAAAUAAGCUGUACAAAAGCUUUGUAGUAACCAAUCUUGAACUUGUACAUACAGGCGGUUUUAGUUGUCGGUCGACAUUAAUGAAUGUUCAUCUUCUUCCCUCCCCUUUUCUUCCCCCAGAAAUUCUCACAUUGGCCGCAUGGAAUUUUCCCUCUUUUUUUUUUUUUUUUAUCUAUUCUGGUAUUUUAACUGCUCUCCUUUCAUAUAGACGUAGGACCAAGGUUCUACGCAAGAGAGAACUCAUUUAUAAUAUGAAUGCCGAUACAAGCAUUCUUUCUUCGUUGUGCUGGUAGAAAGAAUCCAUAGCAACAUGUAACUGCUAGCGUAUAUUAUUAGUGCAACAAAGAUUCAUCCAAAACAGAACUUGAAACAAUUCUUAAAGGAAAGAUUUGAUUGGGUACUUGUGGACGGAGAGGAAAGCAGGUUUUCUCUCUACAUAAUUUCCACAUCUUUCUGCAACAUGCCAAGAUGUUGCCUCAUCUCGUUCAUGACAUAAAAGCUACUAUUAAUUUUAACCGGGGAACUCUGAGACAAAGCCUGAAUUUUUUUUUCACCGAGUCUGUUGCUUCUGUUACCAUUUACUUCCUCACUAUAGUGAGCUUUAAUCCUGUAACAUUUCUCUGUUCAGAAACGUGAUGGAGAGAUCUGCAGUAAUUGCCUUUUUUAAAGAUUCACUCGACAUUUAGUAGCCAACAUAUCAUCAUUAGUUAAGCGAAGCUGCAGUAACUUCUUGAAGUCUAUAAUGCUGCUCCAUACUCCAUGGCGCUGAGUUUGUUCUCAAAUUAGUUCAUGACGGCUGAUAAAGAAUCGGGUAACGGUGAAUUAUAGCUCUUAGUCUGGUGAAAAUUGGUUAGAUCUGGACAAGCAUUCAAGAUGAGCGCAGAUUGUUUGUCCUUUUUUUUUUUUUUUUUCUGGCUUGGUGCCUUCUCUGCAGCACCUGUACCGGUAGUUGGGCCAUGUCAAAGGCCGGUUCUUUAAUGUUAAAACCUUAUUUUUCUUUUUUUUGGGUAGACUUCACAUAAGUCUGCUGCAAGGAGCAAAGGCUUCACAUAAGUCUGUAGGUUAGCUGAAUUAGACGGAUAUGGAAAAGGUGGUCUAAUCAUAAGAACACCAGAAAGGCAGAACAUAGGUGAGGGUAUUGGGUAUGGGAUGAAUGCUGAAGGGGCGGUCUUGGGCUUCUGGCAUUGAAAGUGAUGUAGCUAGGACGAAUAGCGCUGCUGAUCCUUAGUAGAUGUGGUCCGAAAGUCAGUACCAUCCAUCUCUCCCAACUCAAAUUGAGAGGGCCAGAGUUUUUAGAUAAGAAUCUGGUGCUUUCCGGGAAGUAGAUGAUAAUCGUUUGCACCAAAAGUGCAAGAAGCCAACAAGUGAUAUCGGUUUGCAUGUUUUACUAGAUCACUGCAACAGUGCAUGUUCUGCGUAGGAUUUUUUUCUGGUUUGUGGUUGAAAUGGUUUGUUCGAAGGGAUGGAAGGAGAAUGGGAAGAAAGUGGAGAGGGAAUCUGCUUCGAUCAACCAAAAUGGAGUCAUGAUGGGCUCAAAGAAGUGGACGUCAGUCUCUAGAAGUACUUUACACUGGGAACGUGGAGAUUGACCAUCGCUUUCUCUUUGAGAUCCCUGGAGUGACAAGUGAUGACCGUUGAAUACACCGCUGAGCCACGUUGGGUAUCGCUUUAUUGGCUAUUCUAACGAUUGCAAAAUUUUCGCUUUCGUCCACCUUCAAAAGGUCUGGUGCUCAGGCAACAAUUACAUUUAAGUCAGACCUGGUGAUCAAUGGCCCCCUACUUUUCAAUAGAUUGGGAAGAAUCUACGAGUAUGGACCAUGCUAAAAAGUCAGCUAAGGUCUGCUGUUGUCCAUCUCUGACAAAAGUUGAUCAUGUUGUGGGGCUCUCCUCUAAAGUAGUUGUGAGACUCGCCUCGGUGCGCUUAUUAUUUUUUAGUUCACAGUGAUCAUGGGUCUCUCUCUCCCCCCUCUUUCCUACAAAUUUAUGAGGCAUUGGAAGCUUACAAACUCCAUGAUUAAUUGUUUUGCUCCUAUUACUUCUACUUUUGACGCAUUCUGGUCUGAUAUUGAUAAUCCAAACCAAUGCCCGGCAAUUGAAAACCUUUUGAUGUACAAUGGGUGUAUUAGCAAAAAUUAUUUUUGCCCAUUUAACUACUGGAUCGACCUUACAAUUCUUCCGCAACAGCUGCACUACACUACUACGGAAAUCCUUGUGUCGUCAUUUCUCUACUGCACUGUCAGUUAUUGUGCUCCUUGUCCUCAUUUCUCUGCUGCUCUAUAUGGAUCUAAAAACUGAAUACCCAUUCCUGUUAUUUGACCCGAGUAAUCAUCUAAUACCCUAUUCAGGACCUUGGUGUGUAGGCAAGAAGCUCAUGCAGAUUGGCGGGUUAACCUUGAAUAAAGCUAGAAUCGAUGAGGGGAGAAUCCACAAUCCAUCUCCACAUAUCAUACCGGAAGCAACGGCAGGAACCAUCAAAGUGGCCUUCCUGCUAUUGAGCUUGUGCCAUACAUAGACGACCAAACUGCCCACGCACAUAUCGAUUGCAAAAUAAGCACCUACAAGGAAUGGCACCGCCAUGGCCAUCGGAAGCGGCACCCAUUUCCCAAUCUUUUGGGGGUUAUGUCUCUAAAAAGGUUGGCCACAAAAGCAAAAGCAAAAAACCCAUAACACAGCUGCAAGCAAUGCUGUGGCAGUGCAGAGAAGCCUUCAACACCCAGAAUUGCCAUGUUUCUGUAUAUCAGUGCGUAGGGAGCCUUAUAUUCGCCGUCAGGAUUUCCAACAUCAAAGGCCUUGUAGAAAAGCAAGAAAGUUAUUGGGGCUACUAUGCAGCCAAUGGCGGUCCCAAUGCCUUGGCCAAGCAGCAUUGACCGAGGGGAUGUAAGGGUGAGAUGACCGGUCUUGAAGUCAUGCAUCAAGUCAGAGGAUAUGGAAACUAUAGAUUUUAUGAGCCCACAACCAAUAAGCCCGCAACUACACCAUUAUCUUUUCCAGCCAAGGCGGCAAGCACAAAGAGGGCUACCUUCCCAUAAUUGUAUGCCAUGUUCAUGUCGGUCAGACCAGCACCAUAAGCAUUGCAGAAACUUAGUGAUGGAGCAAGCAAGUAGGCAACGAGAACAAAGUACCACUUCAGCUGUGGAAACAUUUUUGGAAUCACAGCGAUGGAUAUAAUGGAGAACAAGAAAUAUCCAACACAUGCUACCCAUAAAGGAAUGCUCUCUCUCAUGAAGACUUCGUUUCGUUGAAGAUCGUCAAGUGGCUGAGUUCUACUGUCUGAGGUUUCUGUGACCAAAUAGACAUAAUUUAGCAAGAUCCGUAGAAAAAUGUUACUGCUGAAAGUGCAUUUUUGGUUGAAAUACUCUUGGUCUAAAGAGAGGGGCAGCAUUAUGCAAUUUGGAGGCCAUGUGCAAGUUGCUUGCUUACUGAUAUACGAGUCUUCUUCAAUGCAGCACGUAGACUUAGUCCGGUGAAGAAGAGCGACUUAAGAAAUUGUACAAUCCGUCCCCAAGAAUAAGGGCAAUAGAAAUAAAGACCUGCAGCCAUGCAAAAGAGUAAAAUGACAAAAAAUGUUGGUGUAGUUUGUAAAUUAAAACAAUAGUGAGAUUUGCUAUGAAUUUGAAGCUGAACAAUAACAAUCAAGCCGGAUUCAUCAAACGGAUUGAGUCUAAAAUGUCCAAGAUUUUUGUACUAAGGAUCCGUCCGCGGAUCCUGGUGAUGUUGAGAAACUUUGACAUGAAAUAAAAAAAAGUUUUGAGACUGAAGGCAAAAGGCAUUCAGAAGGAGCUUCUUCCCUUGAUAUAAAAAAAAAAAAAAAAAGGGUUAAAAACGGUUAUUUACCAACCUUGUAACCAUUUAGACUCUUCAUACUGCUUUCUGAUAACGUUCUGGGGAACCAAUCCCCCUUGCGGUCGUGUAUUAGUGGCCACAUUAUGCCCCAAGAGAGAACCGCUCCAAAGAGCAAAGACAAAUUGACAAGAUGAGAACAAAUCAUUCCAGCUCCUAUGUAUGUCAUACUGAAAUCAAAAUAGAAUCUGCAAAAUUCAAUUAAUUACAUCAAUUGCAGUUGAAAAAAAAUUUCCAAUUACAAGACUUGAGAACUUGUAAAGAAAAAGCAAAUAACUAAAAGGGUAGGAGUAUAGACGUUUGUCUCCAAGCUUUCAGCCCAAAUGUGGAAGUUGACGAAUCCGCAUUGGCUUCCACCAGAGUAGAACCACUGAAACAUUCCCCACAGGAAACUGAUUGAGAAGAAUUUCAUGAACCCCUGUACCUGUUUCCUGAAGGGGUAAAAAGGAGAUCAAGUUUUAAGAUAUAUCCUGUCCACUUAAUGUUUUCUUCCUUUUUAUCUGCACCAUACCAUGUUAAAUAUAUAUAUAUAUAUAUAUAUAUAUAUAUAUAUAUAUAUAUCACAGUAAAAUUUCUAUAAUCAUUCUUUGCUCACUUGGCAUUUUUGUCCCCCUUGGGAGUAUGGAAACCGUUGAUGAGUACUGCAGUUGCAGUUCCACUAGGAUAAGUCAACUUGUAAUCAAUUAUCAUGAUCUGUGAAUAAAGCAAAGCAGGAAGAGCAUUGCUUGUGAAGCCUACUAGAGACGCAGAUUGUCAAAAUAUACAUUUGUGAACUGCGUCCAAAACAGGGAUGAGCUGUUCUACUGCCAGAAAGAAACAACGUCUAGCUGUUUUAAUUGGCAGGAACGGCGUACCUUUCUAAGAGGAACCAAAGCCAAAAGGCCAACAAAGCUGACAACAAAAAGGAAACGAUCAUCCACUCAACGCCAGGUUCCUUGUAGCUCCCUGGCACAUUUCCCUCGCUAUCAACUCCAGCUUGUUCGUACGUCCUCUUGUUUAAUCCGAGGAGAUAAGACCCAAAACCACCUAAACACCACAAUCAAUAAGGUCUUAUUAACUACGUAAUAGGAUUAUAGCACCAAAAGCUUGAUCGAGCAAGCAGCGGCAAUUCUGUCAAGAAAUUUGCACGGCCACAACAGAAAAGCUGUUUUAGUACCUGCAACGGCUAUGCUAUAGCAUGCAACAGCACAAGUCUGAAUAAUGGUAUUCUCUUGCCUGGUGAACGGAGCUGAGGCGAAACUUGCCCUCUGAAGCAGCUUGGUCCACGUCUGGAUGAAGACAAAGGCGCAAGAAGUGCAGCUGAGACGUUGAGAUUAGGCAACAAGCCAGUGGUGAGAUUGAGCUUCAUCACGAUCACGCUGUAUACGAUCCCAAUCACGAUGCUCGCGAUUACUCCUCGAAGGCUGAUUUGCUUGGUCCACGGAGGAAUUCUUUUUACAUCCUCCUCCAAACCCCCUCCUCUUCCAUCUUCCCCAUCAACUACACCUGUAAUCUCCUUCGAAUCUUCAAUGCCUUGCGUUUCCCCCUCGAGCCAUUCUUGCACUCAUCCUGCCAAUUCCGAUCCAUGACCAAAUUAAUGAACAGUCAUCAGUACGAGAUUCCCAAUAACUAAAAGUCUUGAAUUACCUUGCGUAAGCACAUAAUUAGACAUGAGGCGGAAGCGCAUCCGAUGAACGUGGAAAAAACAACGAAAAGCAAAAAAAAUCCUUAAUGACAAAUUAUAAACAAGGAGCGUAAGCAAGAGUAUUAAUUGAUUACCUGAAAAGAGGGUCAAAAAAUAUUCUUUGUCCAGCUGGUCAGAGAAUUAGACCGCGCAACCAGAAUGCUGUUAUCAUCAAUUAACCGUCCAAGAGCUAAACCACAACGCAGGAAAACAAAAAAACAUAUGACAGCUGCUAAUCCACAAUUACCUAUAAAACUUAAACCAAGAAAUCCAAAGCGGAAAAGAAAAAUUCCCAGAUGGAUUCGGCUCUUUUAGUGCAAUGAGAAUCCAAUCCAAUACGUAAUCAUUAGCUUGAUGAAUGCUACUUAGUAGCUCUUUCGAAAAGAGGAGGAGCACUCAGGGAAGUGAACCAGCUGUAAUGUAAUAACUAGAAUUUAAAGAAGUGAAUCCAGAGAUGCCAGGGAGGGAAGCAAAUAAAGCUCACCAACCGACUGGGCAAGACCUUGUACUACAUCUAGCGCUCUUGUAGUACAAGAAAUGAAAAAGAAAAACCAUAAAGACAUUGGUAGUACACAUGGCGACUACAAUUCCAAAUACUACUGGGGAGUACUACAUCAGUAUGAUUGCCAUUAUAAUGGGAUGGGACUUGUAAGACCAAAUGGUAGGCUAGAAAUGAGCUGCCUUCCCGUUGACUAAAAGUUCCCCGAGUCCAAUAUCUCGGUCGACACACGUAAAAUGGGGAUGAAAAGAUUUUGAUUUUGAUGAUGGAUUCGGAUUUAGGAUGGAAGCAAUUACUAGUCCUGGACAACAGGAGCGUUAGUUCCUUUGAGAAUUUCUUUUUUUUUUUUUUUCUUUGGUUUGGUGCUGUAGUAAAGACUAAAUACUCCGCACUCCGCAAGUUAAAAACGAAAGGGAAAGCGUAAUAUAAGCACAAGGGAGGGAGGAAAGAGUGCUGCCUUUCUUUCACUUUCAGGCUCGUGGUGCAUACACAUGGCGUUGGGGGUGCGGCGACCGAAACAACUUUUUGGUGUCAGGGGAAAUUGAAUUGAUGGUUUAUAAUGAACUUGUGAUGUUGCCAACGAAACCAAAUAACUCUUUAAUCCAAUGCCGCUGCAUCAUGAAAAGUUGGAUCGUUAUUUUUAGAAAUUUCCAUCAAAAAAAAUUUCGGCAAAGAUUUGACUUAUAUAAGUGCAGCGAUUUGAUACAUAUGAAAUAAAAAUAUAUUUAUAAAAAAUAAAAAAUUUUUCUGUAAAAAAUCAUAAUCCAAAUAUGGCCGCAUGAGUUUUCUUCCACGUGUUGCUGAAUUACAAGGGAAUUUUUUCCUUUUUGAAAAAAAAAAAGAAUAAAAGAAAUCACUAAGUUGGAAUAAUUUGGGCGGGCGAGUAGGGAUGACAAUAAUAGAUGGCUAUGAGGUGGAGCCGUCGUCUAGAAGCUCCCCAUUCUCUGUUAUUUCCACCAUUGCCCUACUCUGCAGGUGCACUCUGUCCUGCUCUGCCACUAUUUUUAGUUUUUUUUUUUUUGUAUGUAUACAAUAUUAACAAUGAAUUUACUAAUUAAUAUUUUUAAAAAAUUCAACGUAAAUUAAAAUUUAAAAAUUAUUUUUAUCUUAUGAAAUAUUUGAUUUUGCAUAAAAUCUAAAUCAACUAAGGUUGUUUUUUUUUAAAUCAACAAAAUUAUUGUUUAACUACAAUAAAUUAACAAGAAAGAUUAUAUUUAUAUAUAUGCCCAUGUAUAUAUUAUAUAUAUAUAUAUAUAUAUGUCCGUGCACGUGCAGGUGCAUUUUAGUGAUUAAAAUUAAGACCCACAAUGUAAGGAUUCUUAAUUUUAAUUUCCCUGCCCAUUCCCCACUACUUGAUCCCCGCCGCUGGCUCCAUUUAAUGCUAGAGGAGAAAAAUUCCACCCUCCCCAACCCUCCGGAGGAGAGGCUGUUGAUCGUCCACGGUGGGGUGCUCGACUGCUUGCGGGCCCCUUACAUGGCAAUCGCUUAAUUUGACUGCUCAUUGCCUUAAGAAAAUUUUUUUUGAUUAAGUGCUUAAAAUAUUUGUAAAUUAACUUUAUCUUCUUAUUUACUUUUUCGAAACUUUGUGCACGUCAAAUCACAAAAUAUAUUAGAGCGCCGUCCUGAGUCAUUGGCAGAUUGGUUUAUGCCAAAUAUGGGAAUGGGGAAAAUCAUCUCAUUUUUUAAUUUUCUUUCCCAUUCUGAUUUAUUGGCAAGUAGACACAGCUUUUCGUUCGUUCGCGUCGCAUUCCACGUGACAAUUACGUUCUAAGCAUCUUCUUAGAAUACGGUUGCUUGUGUCAGCCUCGGGUCCUCUCAUACGCAAACAAUAAAUUAUGAAAGUCCACAAAUGAAUUUCUUAAUCCUCACACAACUCGCGACAAAAGCUCUCGCUGAAUAAUUUCCCUUUUAUGCUUUUUUUUUUUAAAAAAAAAUCUUUCUUUCGUCGUUGUUCGUAAUUACUUCAGAGCCUACGACAUGACGGUCCAUUUUACUGCGUGAAUUCGACGCCCAAGUUGGGAUAUUGUACGGUCCGCUUUCAUCAUUCCUUUUUGUUUUUUGGGAUAAUUUCAGAAACGUCGCCUGACGUUGUUGUUUGGCGCUAUUUGACUGGUCUCCGUUCAGAUUUUUUAAAACUAGUAUAAAUACCCGUGCUACUAGAUUACAUUUUUGAAAAAAAUUACAAUCUAUAGAAGAAUUUAAAAAUAGUAAAAUGUUAUAAUCACGGGCACAUGAAAGUAUAUUUAAAAAAAUGAAACCUUGUAACAAUAAUUCAAUAUAUAAUAAAAACAUCUCUAUUAUUUAUAAACUAUCACUUUGAUGAAGGUUGGAUCCUGAAAAAAAUAGAAAUCCAUAUCAUAAAUUGAGCGACAUAAGGGUCCAAUUAAAUAUAAUUAAAUAUUUAAUUUGGUAAAUAAAUGAAAUACUUACAAACAUUUUGCCUUCAAUUUGAUAAUCUUCUACGAAGGCGUGAAUAUUUUUCACACCAAUCAACUCUGAGUACGAACGCCAGUAUUGGGGAUUUAAUUAAUUCUGUUGAUUUUUGUGGAGUUCGUACUAUAAAUGAGAAUGCACGAUUUUUGCAUGACUUAAUGUGUUGGACGAACAAUGCACCUCCAUUUUCCUGACAAUUAAAAGCAUACAUAAUUCAAAAUUAUCUUUUGUUUUAGAUAGUUUGUAAAUAAUAUUGUAUAAAAAUAUAUACAUAUAAAUAAUGUAUACCUUUGUUUUUAAAUCUCUAAGAUAAAAAGCAUCACAACAAAACAUGAAUCGUGCAUGUCUGUCUUGAAGAGCCAGGUAUAGGUUACCACUGAAAUCUUUAACUUCUAUGUUAACAUUGUAUCUGUUAAAAAGAAAUUGUGAUGUAUGAUGUAAAAAAUUAUAUUAAAAUUCAAAAUAUAUGAAAAUAAUUACCUGACAAUAGUGUCGACUACGUCAUUACAAUGGAUAUACACCAUUUUUGCAAAAUGAGAUUAACAUGGUUGUCCAAAAUUUUUGCAUAACUCAUGGAACAUAUUGUCUAUGUUGAUGCUUUGAAUAUAAGCAAGUAUCCGAAAAUAUUUAAUCUAAAACAAUCCAAAGAAUGUUUAGAUUACAAUUAUUAAUUCGAAACUACAUAUAGAUACUUGUUCAUUACUUAAUUAAUUGAGAGGAAUUGUACCGUAGGUAUAACUGCAUAUUUAAAUAUCAAUAUGUUUUUAGCAUUUGAUAUCAAUAAUGCUUGGGACAUUAUAAAACUGCAUGACCGCAACCACGUCACUAAUUUCUGAGCACAUUUAUCAUUCUCAAACCUGCAAAUUUUUCAAAUAUAUAUUCGCAAGAGUAUGAAAUAUUAUUAAUAAUUUAAUAUUUUGGUAUUUGUAAAACUUACCAACUGUGUAGGUAUUGAGCAAAAUCCAAGUAGUAAUUGAGAUACAAUUUGCUUGCUUGAAUAGUAUAAAGUGACGAUCCUGCACAAUGUGCUAUAUUUAUUGAUAAACUAUAAAAAUUAAAUAAAAUAAAUUGAAAAUAAAUUGAAUUACCUUUAUGGGAAUUAGUAGUGGCAUGGCGACCAUCUGACACGCGUGGGCUAAUAAGGAUACCAACAGCAAGUGGAAAGAGAUCUUACUCAAUCUUCUCAUGGAAUUGGAUUGGAAGAGGUUUAAUUGUAGUGGGAAGAUGUGUGAGGAGAGUUAAUUGGAAUUAACUUCUUGUUUGAGGGAACGUGAGAAUGUUUAGUUGGAGUUAACUUCUUGUUUGAGAAAAAACGUGGGGGUAUAAUGUGCUCAUGAUGUUUUUUACGAAAUAAAUUAAAUGUAAAAUGCUAUAAAAAUAGAGUUGAGAGUGGGAAGGAUUGUGAAGGAUUGUUUCUAAAAAUACCUUCUUAAAUUUAUAUAGAUAUAGAUUACACUACUAACUUUCAUUAAUAUUUUUUAUUUUAUAACAUGUAAAUCUAACCAAUAAAUAAAAAGUGAUAUUAUAAGAGAUAAGAUAAUAUGAUUCAAUCAUUUCCACUCAACUACUGAAUUAUUUAAUUAAAUUAAUACCUAUCCAAACAUUUAUUAGAAAUUAAAUAACAUAUUUCAUAAAAAAUAGUACAUCAUUCUGUAUAUUUCAUUUAACAUAAGAUUCAAAUUGCUAUUUUCAAUUACUAAUUCAUUGUCAAAUGUGUUCAACAACAAAUAAUCAAAAAGUUUUGUAACCAAAAUAUUACAAAGAGUAAACUUUAAUACCAUAAAAGUUUUGACAACUAAUCUUAAUUUAUUGACAAGAAUAUUUAUGAUGUUAAAAUUUGUUCUUUAUAAUAUUUUGGUUGCAAUUUUUUAAUUAUUUGUUAUUAAUCAUAUUUGACAAUGGGCAUGCAACUGAAUAAAGUAGAUUGGAUCUUGUAUUAAAUGAAAUAUAAAAAAUGCUAUAUUAUUUUUUAGGGAUAAUAUCAAAAACCUUCCCGAGGUUUCUCUUAAUGUCACCUGACAGUCUGACACCCCUAAGAUUUUAAAAAUAUCACUUACCUCCCUUACCUUUGUUAUUUAUGUAACAAAAUUUUUAAAAACCCUAAACUACCAUUGCACUUGCUAAAUAAAAAUGUUCCUAAACCACUUUGUUCACUUUAAGAAAAUCAUCACCUCAAAAGUAAUCUCUUGUAGUAUUGCUACAUCACAAUUAUAUACCCCAUAAAAAUAUAAAUUUGAAAAAAAAAUGAUAUUUGAAAAGAAAUACACUUGCAUUAAUUUAAUUCUAUAUGCUCAAAACCGAUUUCCUAUAAAUUUACAUUUUUUUCCAACAUCUUCUCAACCCUUUACUCAAACCAUUAAACUAUACCAAUCAUUAUAAAAAUCAACCCAAAAUAAGCAAAUAAAUCAUACCCCACUUUAUCGCAAUCACAAAAUGUAAAAGAUAGACAAAAUUUAAUUUAUCAUAAUUUACAAUAAAAUAUUGCAUAGUCAUCCAAAAAUAUAUGAGUAAGAGAGAAUGAUGGAGAAAAGGGAAAAAGAAGAAUGUGACUUCGGGUUUUUUUUUUUUUUGAGUUUCAUUUAUUUGAUAUGUUGUGAAUUAUGUAUCAAGUAAGGGUUAAUAUAAUCGUUUUGCAAUUAUAAGGGGAGGUAGGUGAUAUUUCUAAAAUCUCUAGGGUGCCAAGUGAUAUUAAGAGAAAGCUCAAGAAAGGUUUCUGAUAUUACCCCUAUUUUUUUAAUAUAAUAUACAUGGACAUGCAAUUGAAUCAUACUAUUUUUUCUCUCCUAACAUUACUUUUUUAAUUACUGGUUGAGGGCGAUUGAUGUAAUUUUUAAAAUAUGAAUAGAAGUUAGUGAAAUAGUUAGAAACCUCACUGAAGGUUUUCUGAAAUUAUCCUUGUUUUUUCCCCUAUUUUGAGGGGACUACUGGUCUCGUUUUAUUAUUUCUUUCUGGGGUAUGUGUAUAUAUAUAUAUAUAUAUAUAUAUAUAUACAUGGGUGUUUAUUGUAGCGAUAGUCAUGUUGUAUGAGUGGAAAGUUUAGUACAUAAGAUAUGAAUAGAUAAUAGUGAAUAUUAAAGGAUACAUUUGAUCAAAUAAAUAAUGACACUUAUUAUUAUUUUUUGGUUACACCAAAUCGUGCUCAGGUUUUAUGUGUAGAAAAAAAGGAUGUAAGGGUCACUCCAGGGAGGAUGGGAAAAUGCUUGCUCCAGAGUCAAAAUCGGAACGGUGUCCAACUAUGGUUUGGUUAACCUAGUGACAAACCCAACAAUUAUUCAGCUUCCGCUCUUUUGUAGUCUCUUAACAAUUUUAUGUGGUGAUUUUAUAGUUUGCUUUUUAUACAUAAGUUUGGUAGUCACACACCGUAUACAGUGCCACUCUUAAAUGCACCUCACAUCACAUGUGCAAAAAAAAAGGAAAUAAAUGAGGCCCAUUAGCCUCUGAAUCCAAGAAGAAAAUAAGCAAACCAUCUAAUGGAUCCAGCUCAAAUAGAACUCCACACUCAGCCUCAUAUGCUCCUGAUCCAGUGCACUCUAUUGAAAGCCGGAGCUGCUAUAGGAAAGCAAUGGGCAUUGAUGUAAGUUCACAUUUGUCUCUGCCCACUUCAUCUGGACGGUCCAGGUCCAACUUCUUUUUUCUCUCAAUAACUGCCAGGGAGACUUGAUUUGUAAUUUUGAAAGUUGGGAGGAGGGCGUUCUCGAUAACCGAGACCCAUCGCGAAAAUUCCUCUUCGCUGCUCCUUCCUUCUUCGUCUUCAAGAAAAAUUACUACACACGAAGUGGGAAAACAAAAGAGAUAAAGAAAAUCGUUUACCGAUUGGUGCAGCUGAGCGAGUGAGGGGGCGCUUUUCUGCGUCUUUUUCUACUGUGCAUCCUCUGCCCUGAUCGAAUUAGUUUAUAAUAUUUACUAGUUAGUUGUAUAACACAGAAGAAGAAGCAAAAAAAAAAAAAAAAGAAAGGAGAGAAAGAUGAAGAGCAAUUCGACAGAGAUGAAAUUCGUGCAAGACCUGAUACUGUACGCUGCCAGCGCCGCUCUGAGUUGCUUGGUCUUAUUCACGGGCUCCGACUUCUCGACCCGAACCGGGAGGCCUCCAAGAAAGCCCUCGAACACAAGAAGGAAAUCUCCAAGCGCUUGGGCCGCCCUCUUAUUCAAACAAAUCCCUACGAGGUCCUUUUUUUUUUUUUUACCCCCUUUUCUU
rnacentral:lncRNA from 1 species